rnacentral:rRNA from 1 species
CACCGGCGGCUCGAGUGGUGGCCACUUUUAUUGGGUCUAAAGCGUCCGUAGCCGGCUUGGCAAGUCCCCUGGGAAAUCUGGCGGCUUAACCGUCAGGCGUCCAGAGGAUACUGCCAGGCUUGGGACCGGGAGAGGUGAGAGGUACCUCAGGGGUAGGGGUGAAAUCUUGUGAUCCCUGAGGGACCACCAGUGGCGAAGGCGUCUCACUAGAACUGGUCCGACGGUCAGGGACGAAAGCUGGGGGCACGAACCGG